UGUGCUCCCAUUGGGUGGGUGGGGUGU
rnacentral:piRNA from 1 species